CUACAAGUACGGGCCCUGCAGCAUCACUAAGGGUACUUACCCAUUAUGGAGUACUCCUAGAACCCUGCUCCUGUUAUUGCAGUAUGAUCUGGCGUAAGGAACGGGAAUGCAGACCACACCUUCAUUAGGAAGAUCAUUUGCUCGGAAAGGAAUCUCAUAAAUCAGAUCAAAGGAAGCACAGGACGUAUAGCUGUUCUCAGCAGGCAGGAAUUUGGAGGAUCACGACCGAGUGAAGAAUGGAGAUUAAUGUUAGAGUCUGCAAACUGUGUGCUCUGUUUCAAGUGUGCUGGUGGAGUGACGCCACGUUGCCUGAUAUGAGACUUAAACAAGAUGUACAUAGGAGGUGUUGUGAACUACGAGUCACUGACUUAAGACAGGACGCAUCUGUGAAGGAUUUCAAAACGCUCUUUGGCAUGUAUCAUCAGGGAAGGUAAUUCCCUAAGGAAAAGGCGAGCUGUUGUCUCUUCGGUUAAGGAGAACUUGAAUCAUUGCACUUUUAAUUAUACCUCCCAUUUCCAGUUUUGGAUGAGGCGGGCGCAUACUUUCCUACAUUUUAAAUGUUAGUGUUGGGCAAUGUGAAAUUGGUUGACUUUUUUUGUCAAGGGAAAGAGGUACAGUGAUGAGUAUUAUUGUAAGUUCAUGUUAGUUCCUUUUCCAAGAACCUAAAUUUAACUCCAUGGUUUUGGUAAAUCUAAUAAACGGCAUGAGAACAAAUGGAGCAAGUUAUUCUGGAUGUGCACAAGCAAAGCAUUUCCACAGAGCGGAAAACACCGCGUUCCCACGCUGGCCUCCAACCCAUUCAAGGUACAGAAAUGGUAAGUGAUCUGCCUUACAACUGAGAAACGUAUUCAUGGCUUCUUAGAAUUAUACGUGAUGAGAUCCAAGUUCAGCCAAUGUCAUUUAUUUUUGCUCAUAAAAUGUCAAGGGUGGGAGGAAGGAGAUAGAGAAAUUCAAUCAGAGAAAUCCAACUCAGAAAAUACACAUACUGCAUUUUCUGAAGGGAUACUUAACUACUUAAAGUGCCACUGAAUAACGGAGUUUGCAUGCUAUGUUUUAUCAAAAUCCAUAGAAAUAAAGAAAAGACAACGAUUGUCAAAAGACCAAUCAGAUGAAGGGGAUAAAUGAAAAGUAUGAAUGUUAUGGGUGUUAAAAACUUCUCACUAGAUCUCAUUUAAGAUUUUUGUGUGUUACCAAUUAGGUACAGACUUAAAUAUCCAUGCUUUUCUAUUUCAGAUGCCCUUUCAAAACUUAGCAGUAACAAAUCCUACCUUUUUUUUUUUUUAAGCAACUUUAAAUUUCUGGAUUCAUUUUUCCUAAGGAAAUUUCCUUACUGGUGUUUGUUAUCCUGGCAAGAAUAUGUAAAAAUCAUAUUAUU